rnacentral:rRNA from 1 species
CCCUUCGAUGUCCCCGGCCGCACGCGCGCUACAAUGGCCGAGCCCACGAGUAACCAGGCGAUUGGCAGUGUACAUCCACUACGUCGCUCACCCUUUGAGAGAAUGGGUGUAAUCUCUUGAAACUCGGUUAUGAUUUGGGAUAGAGCUUUGUAAUUCUGGCUCUUGAACGAGGAAUUCCUAGUAGGCGCACGUCAUCAACGUGUGCCGAUUACGUCCCUGCUCUUUGUACACACCGCCCGUCGCUCCUACCGAUUUCGAGUGGUUCGGUGAACCUUUCGGACCGGCAAUGCCUCGUGUUGCGCCGGAAAGUCAAGUAAACCAUAUCACUUAGAGGAAGGAGAAGUCGUAACA